AAAACAACUUGUUAAUGUACUUUUUUUCAUUUACUUUGCUGCUAGUAUUCAUGGUUAACCCAUAAACCUUCUCUACAAUUUAAUAAAUAUGUUAUUAAACUGAAUUAUCACUGUAAAACUGGGUGCUAUUUUCUGUAAGGAACCUAUCCUUCACAUGAGAUACUACCGCCUCACAGCGUUAAAAAGCCUGAGCUCUACAAGAGGCUCUGCAUGGCAUUGUGGGAGCCCACGUGUCCAGUAUUGGACCCACGCAGGAGCACAAACACACGGUCCUCCGACGUUUUGCUAGCAUUUGCUUUUCUUUCCUGCAGGUUGUCAGCCCGGUCCGGCCUCAGCUCGGCACGUGUUACCGAGCGGAGUCCCCGGCGAAGCAGCUAGCUGCAGAGCUAGGUUCCCUUGGCACAGCAGCAGAACAUGGGGGAUCUGAGGAAGCUUCCUACAGUCGGCCUUUACCUGCAUUUCCUCCCCCUGGUUGGAUGAAACCUCCGCUCGACUUCUCCUUCUGGACCUCCCUUUGACUUUCUGUGCAGCUGUUCAGCUGGACAGCCCUGCUUCAAAACAGCAGAUGCUCAGAUGUGUCUGCUGCUUUAACCUUGUAGAGCAUUGGAUGUAGCCUUUCACUGUCCUUCCUGAGAUCCAGAAUGCAAGUCGCCGAGAUUAAAGCACCUGCAGAUCAUGAAAAUGUCAGCGCCCAGGCCGUCUGUGAGUAAAAUUUGCUGGAUGUUUCAGGUUCUAUUUACCAUAAAAUUAAAAUGAAUGCAGAAACCUGGCUAAUGAAUGAGAAACAGUUACUGUUGUAUCUUUUUCUUUGAAGACGUUAUUUGUCUGUGAACAUGUCACACUAAAAAUAGAAAGAAAUGCUGGUUUUUGCACGUCAGAUUUGCUUUAUUCUGGAAUUGAGAGGGCCACAAAUGUUGCAUUUUGAACAUCCUUUCUGUAUCACCUUCAGCAGUUUCACAUCUGCAACUGCACUGAUGUGUAUAAAUCUCGUAUUUAACUUUUUUCACCCAUUACUCUCAUAUUUAUACAGUUGUUCUUCUUGCCGUUUUUGAAUUUAUUUGCUUUAUCCCCUAUAUUGCUUGGCCAUUGUAACCAUCGCAUUUCUUCAACUAAGGAUAAAUGAAGUCAUAGUCUGAUAUGCCUGUAUCACUGGUGGUUCUUAGAGCGUCUAGAAUGAGAGGUAGAUGGUUUAGUUACAGUAUCAGGCUCCUCUCCUGUGGAACCAACUCCCAGGUUGUGCCUGUGACACAGACACCGUGUCUGCCUUUAAAUCUAGGAAGAAGUUUAGUCUUUUCAAAUAAAACUGUCCUCUAUAAACAAACUGAAGGUACAGUAGAUCAUGCUUUUUUUCUUUUGUUUUUAUCAAAGCCAUUAAAUGAGCUGGGAAAUUCUUCUUGUCACCAGAGUUGUUCCUGUCCACUGUCAUCACGUGUUUGCUCAGGAGGACUGACUGACCUGUAUUAUAAUUACAAGAAAAUGAAUUGCAUGUGAUUAAAGUCUCAUUCACAGACAUAUGCUGUGAGAUUGGCACCAAAUGAAUAAACUGAAUAAUAAUUAUCUCCUAAACUUGUUGAAAAGGCCAGUAUGCGUUUAAAAUUACCCUGUGGGAUCCAAUAAAAAGAACUUGUGGUUUAAUAUUUUUUUCUAUUAUCUCUUGUGUUUUAUUCCUUGUAUUUAUGUUUUAUCUGAUUUCACCUGCUGUCAAGCACUUUGGUUAACCUAGUGGGUUUCUAAAGGGAUAUAAAAAAUAAUGUAUUAUUAAUAUACACCAAUAAACACAGUAACAACAAUGUGUUCUUGUUAUUGAAAAGCUUAUUGAUCUCAGAUGGAUAACAAUCAAAUAUGAUGUCGACACUGAUGUUGAAUGUGUCCAGGUCACUAAUCUUUAAUAAAAAAUAGUUGUUGCUCAAAUCGCCACUGCCAUGCACUAUAGAAGCAGGAGAAGGUUUAUCAAAAACACCACAUUACUUAAAACAAACAUUUGCAGCUGAUUAGGUAAAAGGUGGAAGUUGAACAGGUUCAUUGUGGGGUCAACAGAGACGGACCACCAAACAAACACACAGACACCCCCACUGGAGGACCGUUUAGAGUGGCCAGUAAAGAUAAAAUGCAAUCUUGUGAAAUGUGACAGAAAACGGCACUACUAGGAAAAUACUAACACACACAUGGGGCGAACACUCAAAGUCCACACAAAAUGGCCCUAAGUGAGAUUUGAACCCAAAGUCUUCUUAGAAUUCAUUAAUGACCACUGAUUUCAGCUCACGUAUGACGUAAACAUAGCUUGACAUUGACUAACCAGUCAUUUGUUAUUUGGGAAGUAAUUCCGUACAUCAAGAAGUUCAUGAUGAGAAACAGGAAAUCCUUCCAUGAACUCCAUCGUGAUCCAGACAUUUCAUUUGUACCGUUAUAAAAUCCUACCUACUGAUUUGAACUGGUGGUCACUUGCUCCAUCCUAGACUUUGUGUC